UACGGGGGGAGCAAGCGUUGUCCGGAAUUAUUGGGCGUAAGGAGCUCGUAGGCGGUCUGUCGCGUCUGCUGUGAAAACUCGGGGCUUAACCCCGGGCCUGCAGUGGGUACGGGCAGACUAGAGUGCGGUAGGGGAGACUGGAAUUCCUGGUGUAGCGGUGAAAUGCGCAGAUAUCAGGAGGAACACCGGUGGCGAAGGCGGGUCUCUGGGCCGUAACUGACGCUGAGGAGCGAAAGCGUGGGGAGCGAACAGG
rnacentral:rRNA from 1 species